rnacentral:rRNA from 1 species
UACGUAGGGUGCGAGCGUUGUCCGGAAUUACUGGGCGUAAAGAGCGUGUAGGCGGCCAUACAGGUCCGUUGUGAAAACUGGAGGCUUAACCUCCAGACGUCGAUGGAAACCGUAUGGCUAGAGUCCGGAAGAGGAGAGUGGAAUUCCUGGUGUAGCGGUGAAAUGCGCAGAUAUCAGGAAGAACACCCGUGGCGAAGGCGGCUCUCUGGGACGGUACUGACGCUGAGACGCGAAAGCGUGGGGAGCGAACAGG